CCUACGAGCGGCAGCAGUGGGGAAUAUUGGACAAUGGGGGGAACCCUGAUCCAGCGACGCCGCGUGAGUGAAGAAGUAUUUCGGUAUGUAAAGCUCUAUCAGCAGGGAAGAAAGAAAUGACGGUACCUGACUAAGAAGCCCCGGCUAACUACGUGCCAGCAGCCGCGGUAAUACGUAGGGGGCAAGCGUUAUCCGGAUUUACUGGGUGUAAAGGGAGCGUAGACGGUGAGACAAGUCUGAAGUGAAAGCCCGGGGCUCAACCCCGGGACUGCUUUGGAAACUGCCUGACUGGAGUGCUGGAGAGGCAAGCGGAAUUCCUAGUGUAGCGGUGAAAUGCGUAGAUAUUAGGAAGAACACCAGUGGCGAAGGCGGCUUGCUGGACAGUAACUGACGUUGAGGCUCGAAAGCGUGGGGAGCAAACAGGAUUAGAUACCCUGGUAGUC
rnacentral:rRNA from 1 species